UCGGGUAUGGUGUAGCGGUAACAUCGCUGACUCUCAAAACUUGCGUUGAGAGAGAUCCUCAGCAGCCCGGGGUUCGACUCCCCGUAUCCGAG